rnacentral:rRNA from 1 species
GGAUGCGAUCAUACCAGCACUAAUGCACCGGAUCCCAUCAGAACUCCGAAGUUAAGCGUGCUUGGGCGAGAGUAGUACUAGGAUGGGUGACCCCCUUGGGAAGUCCUCGUGUUGCAUCCC